rnacentral:rRNA from 1 species
CAGUUGGAAACGACUGCUAAUACCGCAUAAGCCCACGGCUCGGCAUCGAGCAGAGGGAAAAGGAGCAAUCCGCUUUGAGAUGGCCUCGCGUCCGAUUAGCUAGUUGGUGAGGUAAUGGCCCACCAAGGCAACGAUCGGUAGCCGGACUGAGAGGUGAACGGCCACAUUGGGACUGAGACACGGCCCAGACUCCUACGGGAGGCAGCAGUGGGGAAUAUUGCACAAUGGGGGAAACCCUGAUGCAGCGACGCCGCGUGGAGGAAGAAGGUCUUCGGAUUGUAAACUCCUGUUGUUGAGGAAGAUAAUGACGGUACUCAACAAGGAAGUGACGGCUAACUACGUGCCAGCAGCCGCGGUAAAACGUAGGUCACAAGCGUUGUCCGGAAUUACUGGGUGUAAAGGGAGCGCAGGUGGGAAGACAAGUUGGAAGUGAAAUCUAUGGGCUCAACCCAUAAACUGCUUUCAAAACUGUUUUUCUUGAGUAGUGCAGAGGUAGGCGGAAUUCCCGGUGUAGCGGUGGAAUGCGUAGAUAUCGGGAGGAACACCAGUGGCGAAGGCGGCCUACUGGGCACCAACUGACGCUGAGGCUCGAAAGUGUGGGUAGCAAACAGGAUUAGAUACCCUGGUAGUCCACACCGUAAACGAUGAUUACUAGGUGUUGGAGGAUUGACCCCUUCAGUGCCGCAGUUAACACAAUAAGUAAUCCACCUGGGGAGUA